rnacentral:tRNA from 1 species
GCGGGUAUAGUAUAGUGGUAAUACGCGACACUUCCAAUGUCGAUACAGGGGUUCGAUUCCCCUUACCCGCU